ensembl:lncRNA
UUUUCCGCCUUGUUUUGGGCAGAAGUUAUAAUGGUGGAGUAGAGACAGUCGUUUUAUGAUGCUGGGAAUAGAGGGGGAUUAUUUUAUGAGUUUCAUUGAAAUAAGACUAUAAAUUAAACGCAACCUCUAGACCCAAAUCAUGUUAUCUGUUCGCAGGGGCACCUACUAAUCAAGUGCUCGAUAUUAUUUCAUGGUGAUUUUUUUCUUUUUUCCUUCCCUCCUUUUGCUAGAAGCACUUCGCGCGUAAAGAACAUCACCGGUUCCCAAAUUCUCCGUGUUCUGCAGCUGCGAAUAGCGCUCCGUAAUUGGCGGAGAGCACAUCAAUCCUGCGUUUAGCCGCACCCCUCCCCCCAUUCAGCCAGUCUGGUGGCUGUUCCUGUGUGUUUACUACACGGACCAGGCAGCAGCAGACACUUGGCUUCACAUGCACCUAACUCACAACAGCUAGCUAGCUAAACACUUUAUAGUUCCAUCUGAAAGAGAAUCUCCAAGAAUCCAACAUGCCCAAGAGAAAGGGAGCCGCUGGGGACGCCAAGGAGGAGCCCCAGAGGAGAUCCGCCCGGUUAUCAGCGAAACCAGCCCCAGCCAAGACUGAACCCAAGGCCAAGAAGGAGAAACCAGCAAAGAAAGAGAAGGCUGUGAAUGACAAGAAGGAGGAGAAGAAAACUAAGAAGGCAGCAGCGAAGGAGAACGCAGAGGCUGAAGCUGCUGAGGAGAACCACUCUGAGAACGGAGAUGCCAAGACCAACCAGGUAAUAUACAUUACUAUACUGGACAUUUUUACUACUAUACUGUAGACUGCUAUACUAUAUACUACUCUACUGUAGACUACUAUACUAUAUACUGCUCUACUGUAGACUACAGUACUAUAGACUACUAUACUGUAGACUACUAUACUAUAGACUACUAUACUGUAGACUACUAUACUGUAGACUACAGUACUAUAGACUACUCUACUGUAGACUACAGUACUAUAGACUACUCUACUGUAGACUACAGUACUGUAGACUACUCUACUGUAGACUACAGUACUGUAAACUACUCUACUGUAGACUACAGUACUGUAGACUACUCUACAGUGCACUACUAUCCUAUAUACUACUAUACUAUAUACUACUCUACAGUGCACUACUAUACUAUAUACUACUCUACAGUGCACUACUAUACUAUAUACUACUCUACAGUGCACUACUAUACUGUAGACUACUCUACAGUGCACUACUAUCCUAUAUACUACUAUACUAUAUACUACUCUACAGUGCACUACUAUACUAUAUACUACUCUACAGUGCACUACUAUACGAUAUACUACUCUACAGUGCACUACUAUACUGUAGACUACUCUACAGUGCACUACUAUCCUAUAUACUACUAUACUAUAUACUACUCUACAGUGCACUACUAUACUAUAUACUACUCUACAGUGCACUACUAUACUAUAUACUACUCUACAGUGCACUACUAUCCUAUAUACUACUAUACUAUAUACUACUCUACAGUGCACUACUAUAUACUACUCUACAGUGCACUACUAUCCUAUAUACUACUAUACUAUAUACUACUCUACAGUGCACUACUAUACUAUAUACUACUCUACAGUGCACUACUAUACUAUAUACUACUCUACAGUGAACUACUGUGCUGUGCACUACUAUACUGUACUGUGCACUAUUCACCACUAUACUGUACACGACUACACUACUACAGUAUAUACUACUAUAAACUACUGUACUGUAUACUACUGUACUGUGCACUACUAUUCACCACUAUACUGUACACGACUAUACACUACUACAGUAUAUACUACUAUAAACUAUACUGUAGACUACUAUACUAUAUACUACUCUACUGUAGACUACUAAACUAUAGACUACUAUACUGUAGACUACAGUACUAUAGACUACUAUACUGUAGACUACAGUACUAUAGACUACUAUACUGUAGACUACAGUACUAUAGACUACUAUACUACUAUACUGUAGACUACUAUACUAUAUACUACUCUACAGUGCACUACUAUCCUAUAUACUACUAUCCUAUAUACUACUCUACAGUGUACUACUGUACUGUGCACUACUAUACUAUAUACUACUCUACAGUGCACUGCUAUACUAUAUACUACUCUACAGUGCACUACUAUACUAUAUACUACUCUACAGUGCACUACUAUACUAUAUACUACUCUACAGUGCACUACUAUCCUAUAUACUUCUCUACAGUGCACUACUAUCCUAUAUACUACUCUACAGUGCACUACUAUACUAUAUACUACUCUACAGUGCACUACUAUACUGUAGACUACUCUAUAGUGCACUACUGUACUGUGCACUACUGUACUGUGCACUACUAUUCACCACUAUACUGUACACUACUAUACUAUGGGCUCCCGAGUGGCGCAGCGGUCUAAGGCACUGCAUCUCAGUGCUAGAGGCGUCACUACAGGCCCUGGUUCGAUUCCAGGCUGUAUCACAGCCGGCUGUGAUUGGGAAUCCCGUAGGGCGGUGCACAAUUGGCCCGGCGUUGUUAGGGUUUGGCCGGGGUAGGCCGUCAUUAUAAAUAAUAACCACUUCAUAACUGACUUGCUUGGUUAAAUAAAAAUACUACUAUACUGUACAUUACUAUACAUAAGACAGGUCAUAGGCAGACAUUCAAUGGUCAUUAACAGGUAUAGGACAAAUAAGACAGUCAUUGCAGACAUAAAGGAGUAUAGAUGGAUCUAGAGAUCGAGUCCUAGGAGGAACUAGAAAGACAUCAUGGACUGUUGAGGACCUGAUGCUGGUCAUAAAGACAUCAUGGACUGUUGAGGACCUGAUGCUGGUCAUAAAGACAUCAUGGACUGUUGAGGACCUGAGGCUGGUCAUAAAGACAUCAUGGACUGUAGAGGACAUGAGGCUGGUCAUAAAGACAUCAUGGGCUGUAGAGGACCUGAUGCUGGUCAUAAAGACAUCAUGGGCUGUCGAGGACCUGAUGCUGGUCAUAAAGACAUCAUGGACUGUAGAGGACCUGGUGCUGGUCAUAAAGGGACAUUAGAAGACAUUGGUCAGCUUGAUGGCAGAGAUAAGCUCCUGUUUUAGGAUGAGAAACUACCAACAGGAAUGUCAGGUUGUUCUACUGACCUCUAACCUCUGACCCUGCAGAUGGAGGAUGCUCCUGAGGCGGAGAAGGAGGAAGCCAAGUCUGAGUAGCAACACUGCCGACCCCUGACCUCCGACCCCCCCCCUCCCAGCCUGCCCCAGUGUUCAUGGUCCCCCUCCAAGGCGUAUUGUUAACAGAGGAAUAUUUUUAUCAGUGAUUUUAUAAGUAUACUAUCUACUAUCCGUACAGAUUUUUAGCACAAAGCAAAGCUGAGUAAUAUAAUGCAGAUCUGCAGUGGUCAUAUCAACAAAGUGUCUGCAGGCAAGAUGAACACACUAAAAUCUUUUUUAAUUAAACAGCAUUUCAUGAUUGUGUAGGAAGGAAAGCGCGUCCCGUCCCAUAGUGAGUUGUGUGUUCCUGUGCCCCCCUCCUCCACAGUUGGUUCUCCUAGGGUUCUACCUUAUUCCUGGAUAAUUAACUGUUUUGAUCCCGUCUGUUAUGUGCAGUGAGUUCCUUUUGCUUUGUCUAAAUGUUCCUGUUUUUACAUGAAACAUGUUCUAAGCGUGUUGAAAGUGUGUUGUCCAAUAAGGAAGAGGAAGAGAGAAAUUCCGGGCACAGUGACAUGCAUGUCUCCUAGGCGACCCUGUAACAGUGACAUGCAUGUCUCCUAGGCGACCCUGUAACAGUGACAUGCAUGUCUCCUAGGCGAACCUGUAACAGUGACAUGCAUGUCUCCUAGGCGAACCUGUAACAGUGACAUGCAUGUCUCCUAGGCGACUACAGCAGCCGUGUGUGCAACAGCUUUCCAUCUUGCUGGUUUUCUAAACGCACAGUUUUUUUUAGAUAAGAGGUUCUCUGAUGUGUGCAGGAGUCUCUGUCCCUCUGAUGUUCUGGAAUUCUCCAAUAAAACGAGUCCUGUCAAUUUUCCUCAAAA